rnacentral:lncRNA from 1 species
UUUCGAUGUAAUGAUUGUCUCAUGUUCCAUGUUUCAGCCAUGUAAUGAUUCUCUCAAGUUCUAAUGUUUCAGCCAAAGACGAGCUCGUCAAUGUUUCAGUCAAAGCCAAAAAAGAACUAACAAAGUAAUUUCAGAAGCUCAAUCGUUUAACCGGUGUUAGAAGGCUGUUGAAUGGAAAACCAGCCCAGCAAACGUUCUAAAUUCGUGUAUCUUUUUCCCCUGUCGCUCUUCCAUUUUCUACUUUUGGGGGAGUCCAUUUAUUUUUUUUUAUUUUUUUUAUUUUUGUUAUUUUUUUUAUAUUGUUUUUUUUUCUAGGUUACCCUAAAGAGUAAGUAACUAAAUGUUCUAAAUUAAUCUAGCACAUUAAUGCAUUGAAAACAAGUUGCAUCUUUCUCCCCAAUCUCUCCUCCAUUUUCUAGUUUUGGGGAGUACAUUUAUUUUAUUUUUUUAUUUUUUACUUUUUUUUAUGUUUUUCUUUUCUAGGUUACGCUAAAAAGUUUUCUAGUUUUGGGGAGU